GAUGAAGAACGUAGCGAAAUGCGAUAAGUAAUGUGAAUUGCAGAAUUCAGUGAAUCAUCGAAUCUUUGAACGCACCUUGCGCUCCUUGGUAUUCCGAGGAGCAUGCCUGUUUGAGUGUCAUGAAAUUCUCAACCUUUCUGGCUUUUGCUAGUCAGGCUUGGAUUAUGGGAGCUGCUGGCUUUUGAAGUCGGCUCUUCUAAAAUGUAUUAGCAAGAUCAUUGCUGCUCAUCAUUGGUAUGAUAAUUAUCUAUAUCAUUGAGAGUCAGUUUCCUUUAUUGGAAGAUUGUGCUCCUAACGGUCUUUAGCAAGACAACAUUUGACGAUUUUGACCUCAAAUCAGGUAGGACUACCCGCUGAACUUAAGCAUAUCAUAAGCGGAGGA
rnacentral:misc_RNA from 1 species